rnacentral:rRNA from 1 species
UACGGAGGGUGCGAGCGUUGUUCGGAUUUACUGGGCGUAAAGGGCGCGUAGGCGGCCUCCGCAAGUCAGUUGUGAAAUCUCCGAGCUUAACUCGGAAAGGUCAGCUGAUACUGCGGGGCUAGAGUGCGGAAGGGGCAACUGGAAUUCUUGGUGUAGCGGUGAAAUGCGUAGAUAUCAAGAGGAACACCUGCGGCGAAGGCGGGUUGCUGGGCCGACACUGACGCUGAGGCGCGAAAGCUAGGGGAGCGAACGGG